AUUUUGUCUGUCAUAGUUGAAGUGUACCUAUGAUGAAAAUUACAGGCCUCAUCUUUAAGUGGGAGAACUUGCACAAUUGGUGGUUGACUAAAUACUUUUUUGCCCCACUGUAUAUGGAUCACUCCAAGAUAUUGGUAUCACUCCACGGAGGAGGGAUACAUCCGAGGUACUAUGAGAGUUUUUAUGACAAUGCUGCCCACCCGAACCUGACUUCUCCAUCUAACUUAAGUCCAGAGGAACAGCUAGAGUUUGUGACUGAUACUGCAAAGUCUCUUACCGAGGUGGCUACUGCAGUUGCCCGCGCUCUCUUCAAGCAGGCUGGGGGAAACAACUCCCAAGUAAACAAAAUCAAUGCAGACCCCAAAACAGUGGGACUCGAUGAUUGAUGAGGUGUUGAACAAGUGAAACUGAUCAGUCAUGGCUUCCCGAGUGGUGCAGUGGUCUAAGGCAGUGCUAGCUGUGCCACUAGAGAUUCUGGGUUCGAGUCCAGGCACUGUCACAGACGGCCGCGACCGGGAGACCCAUGGUGCGGCGCACAGUUGGUCCAGCAUCAUCCGGCUUAGGGGAAGGUUUGGCCUGCAGGGAUGUCCUUGUCCCAUCGCGCACUAGCGACUCCUGUGUCGGACCGGGCGCAGUGCACGCUGACACGGUUGCCA